GAUGAAGAACGCAGCAAAAUGCGAUAAGUAAUGUGAAUUGCAGAAUUCAGUGAAUCAUCGAAUCUUUGAACGCACAUUGCGCCCGCUGGUAUUCCGGCGGGCAUGCCUGUUCGAGCGUCAUUUCAACCCUCAAGCCCCCGGGUUUGGUGUUGGGGAUCGGCUCUGCCCUUCUGGGCGGUGCCGCCCCCGAAAUACAUUGGCGGUCUCGCUGCAGCCUCCAUUGCGUAGUAGCUACACCUCGCAACUGGAACGCGGCGCGGCCAUGCCGUAAAACCCCAACUUCUGAAUGUUGACCUCGGAUCAGGUAGGAAUACCCGCUGAACUUAAGCAUAUCAAUAAGCGGAGGA
rnacentral:misc_RNA from 1 species